AUACGGAGGGUGCGAGCGUUAAUCGGAAUUACUGGGCGUAAAGCGUGCGUGGGCGGUUGAUUUAGUCAGAUGUGAAAGCCCCGGGCUCAACCUGGGAACUGCAUUUGAAACUGGUCAACUGGAGUAUGGUAGAGGGGGGUAGAAUUUCUGGUGUAGCGGUGAAAUGCGUAGAUAUCAGAAGGAAUACCGAUGGCGAAGGCAGCCCCCUGGACCAAUACUGACGCUGAGGUACGAAAGCGUGGGGAGCAAACAGGAUUAGAAACCCCAGUAGUCC
rnacentral:rRNA from 1 species